rnacentral:lncRNA from 1 species
GGGGGAGAUGAGGGGCCAUCGUGUGUGCUGGGAAGCAGGGAAAGCCAUUCCCAGAUGCAGGACGAUGGAGAAACUCAAGAGGCCUAUCCACCGCCGUGGACCCAAGAGAGAUGAGAAAGAGGGCCGGUCAGUUCUCACCAGCCUGCGAGGCCACUCCCUGCCCUAGAGUUCCAAGUGAAAGUCCAAUACGUUUCCUUUUCUCUGAAGCUCAUUGCACUCACGAUGAAGAGACUCGGUGAAGACAGAACCGCUCGAGGACUGACGGCAGGGCAGGGAGCAACCCGCCUGACAGAGAUCUCAAUGGCAGGAGAAUGGUCGCCUACAACUUCCAAAGAAUACUCCAUAAAGCUGAGAGUAGGCCCAUCCAAGCAGAGGCAAAGAAGCCACUCUCCUCCCAAUCCAGGCACCAUGUAGUAACAACUGGAACUCUAGCCACCCAUCCCUGGGCUUUCCCCAAGGAGCCCAGGACGAUGGCGUCCAGCAGGAAAGUUUCAGCCAAAGGCCCCGCUGCUAGUCGGUUUCUGGGCCGCCUAGGGAAGUUUCACCCAAAGCCCCCGUUGCUGGUCGGUUUCUGGGCCGCGUAGGGAAGUUUCAACCAAAGCCCCUGUUGCUGGUCGGUUUCUGGGCUGCCUUGGGAGUGUGGUUGGUUUCUGGGCCACCUUGAACUCCCUAGGGUAGAGUCUGAGAAUCUAAAUGUUGAAUGUGCUUUGGGGCAGGAUCUGGUUAAAUGGCAGAUCCUGAUUCAGAAGGUCUCAGCAGGGCCUGAGGGUCCACCACCUGACAAGUCCCCCAGGAGAGGCUGCUGGUCUGAAGAGCACACCUGGAGAAGAAGGAACAUUCCACCCACUGUAAGGCCCAGAGAGCUGGGGAUGCCGGCUGGGUUGAUGGCUGUUCUCCCAGCGGAAGAAAGGAAGCUGGCAAUGCAGAGAAGAAAGAGCAGGGACUCUGGAGACAACUAAACGGAUUCUCGCUCAGGGACCAGUCUGUGUCUGGAGCUGGGUGGAGAGCCAGCCGCUGCCUUGGGGAGUCCACAAGUGGUGGCGGGAGCAGAGCUGGCAGCUAGGUCAUGGGGUCACCUGGCUGGAACCUUCUCCUGACAGCAUCCCCUCCCCUGAGCCAGGUCUGGACGGCAUACAGGUGUGCAGGUAAGAGCCUCACUCUCUUCAGCCCUCUGUGACUCUGAAAAGCCAUCGGCAGGAAGAUCAGUGGCUGCUUUGCCCUAAGCGUCCUCAAUGAGAUGAAAGCGCUUUGUAAACCAGUGGGCCUCAAACUGGAGUGUGCACCCCAGUCACCUGGGGGUCCUGUUCAUAGGUCCCACCCAGACUCCUAACUCAAUAGGCUUGGCACGGGGAGCAGGAACCUGGAUCUCUCAGAAGUUCACAGGGCUGCUGCUGCAGCCUGUAGUGGUGAGGGUGUCAGACUUUGAAAACUACUGGUAUCAGUUCCCCUCAAGGGCAGGGCAAAUGUUGGUGAGUAUUAAUAAAACUUCUGUACCAUAGAAUACAGGACCUGGUUUGACUAUAGACCCAGCCUGCCAUUCCGGUUUGGGGCUUUCUU